GCAAACGUUGUUCGGAAUCACUGGGCGUAAAGGGCGCGCAGGCGGUUUGAUUAGUCAGAUGUGAAAGCCCACGGCUUAACCGUGGAAGUGCAUUUGAAACUGUCAGACUUGAGUACCAGAGGGGGUAGUGGAAUUCCCGGUGUAGAGGUGAAAUUCGUAGAUAUCGGGAGGAAUACCGGUGGCGAAGGCGACUACCUGGCUGGAUACUGACGCUGAGGCGCGAAAGCGUGGGGAGCAAACAGGAUUAGAUACCCUGGUAGUCCACGCCGUAAACGAUGUGAACUAGGUGUAGGGGGUGUUGAUCCCUUCUGUGCCGCAGCUAACGCAUUAAGUUCACCGCCUGGGGAGUACGGUCGCAAGAUUAAAACUCAAAGGAAUUGACGGGGGCCCGCACAAGCGGUGGAGUAUGUGGUUUAAUUCGAUGCAACGCGAAGAACCUUACCUGGUCUUGACAUCCCGGAGAUCUCCUGGAAACAGGAGAGUGCUUUCAUUAGAGAGAAUCCGGUGACAGGUGCUGCAUGGCUGUCGUCAGCUCGUGUCGUGAGACGUCUACUUAAGUGUAGUAACGAGCGCAACCCUUGUUCUGUGUUAUAAGUGUCACAGAAGACUGCCUUUGUUAUACAAGGGAGGAAGGAGAGGACGACGUCAAGUCAGCAUGUCCCUUACGUCCGGGGCAACACACAUCCUACAAUGGAGCCGACAACAGGUCGCGACGGGGUAACCCUGAGCUAAUCCUAUAAACGGCCCCUCAGUUCGGAUUGAGGGCUGCAAUUCGCCCUCAUGAAGCCGGAAUCGGUAGUAAUCGCAAAUCAGCAGGUUGCGGUGAAUACGUUCUCGCUCCUUGUACACACUGCCCGUCAAGCCAGCAAAGUCAGCAGCGCCCGAAGCGGGUGACCAUAACCAGUUUACUGGAGUGGCCCUUCUACGGUGAGGUUGGCGAUGAGGACU
rnacentral:rRNA from 1 species